ensembl:misc_RNA 7SK 7SK RNA
AAGUGUGAGGGCGAACUAGCUGGCUACACUGGGACCCCUUCUUCCCUCAUCACUCUGAAUGUGUCCCUCUCGAAGCCUUGUGCUCAGUUGAAGACCUUCCCCAAUAAGGGAGGACCAUUCUUUGGUCAAGGUACACGAGUAGCUGUGCUCCCUGCUAGGACCUCCAAACAAGCUCUGGUCUCCUCCUAGGAAAAGGCGCACAGAUUAUGAUGAAAAACCAAUAAGGUGUGUGUUUUGCUUAAAAUAUCAUAAGCCCU